AACCAAGGCUUAAAAAAGCCAUCAGUGUAAACAAUAUAAAAGUAUAUAUCAAAGCAACACACACAAAACCUGAGUAAAAAAUAGUCAAAUUACCACACACUCACUGAAUUGGCUAUAACAACCCAAAUAACUGUCACGCCUUCUACAGUAUUGCUAUCUCCUCCACACUUUACUGCUCCAUCUCCAUACUUCAAUUUCUACUGUUUGCCCUGGCUGCAGUCUGAGCAUGAUGGGGAGAUUCUUCUUCACAAAGGUGAUCAUUUCAACAUGCUCAGGUGUCAGCCUGCUCCUGUGCUUAUCAAUGAUGUGAGUCUGCGCUGAAAAGCCUCUCACUGUUCCGUUUUAAAAGCGAAACUGAUGCCACAACUGGUCUGGGUUUGCUGAAGUAACCUAGGCUACAGGCUGCAUUUAUUACAGAAAAUCAAGCAACAUAGCAAGUAGGCCUAUCUACACUAUUGAGAGACAGGAGCUUAAAUUUACCACGACAACAGCUGUCACUAAUUCACAUCGUCGUAGGCUGCGCCGAUGCACAGACUAAACGGUAAAAAAAGCUAUGAUAGCCUACUGGAAGCUUCUACCCUUUUGGAUAGAAGAGUUUUUGUCUAA